UACGGAGGAGGCAAGCGUUAUCCGGAAUUAUUGGGCGUAAAGCGUCCGCAGGUGGCACUUCAAGUCUGUCGUCAAAGACUGGGGCUUAACCCUGGAACGGCGGUGGAAACUGAAGCGCUAGAGUGUGGUAGGGGUAGAGGGAAUUCCCGGUGUAGCGGUGAAAUGCGCAGAUAUCAGGAGGAACACCAAUUGCGAAGGCAGCUCGCUGGGGCGUUACUGACGCUGAGACGCGAAAGCGUGGGGAGCAAACAGG
rnacentral:rRNA from 1 species